CUUUCCACUGCCUUCUCCAUUCUCCUCCCACUUCUCCCCCCACUGCCCUCCCAACACCUACCCAUUCACGUUUCUACCUCUGCCCCAUCGAAUCUCCAAAACUCUUUCAGACGAAUACAAGCGAAUUUGAAUGAGAAUUGCUGUAAAAUAGAAUAGCUCGCUUCAACUGGUGGAAGUCUAACCUUGGUUUAAAACAGGCGCCUUAAAGGGCCGGUGGAAUCGUGGCAAGGAAAAUGCACCGGAAGAUGGAGCUGCUCCGAUGAGGGGAGCGAUUACCCGCCAAGUGUUGGAGUUUCAACGCCCGAUUAGAUGAACAAAAGUGCUGAGGAAUAAAGGACCACCGCUUAAUCGACACGACGCUUUGAGUUUCAAAAGAACGCUCGCCAGGGAUGUAAGCAUUAGCUACAACAAAACAAAAAGAAAUUCAAUCAUUACAAAUGUUGCCUGGAAAUCGUUUCUCUUUAUUGUGGUCCGAUCACCUCCUAGAAAAGAUAGCCUUUAAUUAGGUUUUUUUUCGCGUACGUGUAGAAAGCAUUAAUAAUCUUCAUGUGAAUUUUAUUGAAUU